GCUUGAGCUACUCCAUGUUGCCUUGUUCCUCUUAAUGUGCAUGUGUCAGGGGACGGAAUUUUCCAUAGUGGGCAUGUCUGGGCAAAUCACUUGUGUAGCCUUUUUUAUAUUGUGGCUGUGGGCAUAUCCUAGGCAAACCCCCCUGUGCAAGUUACCUUAUCUGUGCCUGUUGGCUAUUCUUUGGUUUGAAAGAAUUCUUCCAAGGAUCCACCCUAACUGCCUGCCUGACUCGUUUCUUCCUUUCCCCUCUCAGUAAGGGAGAUGUUUCCUAUUAUCCUUGAUAAUGUGCCAUGAACAUAUGAAAAAACAUAGAAACAUGAAGAAAACAAGAAGACAAAAAUCACUAACAUCUGGUUGGCUGUAUAGAAACAAAGCUGAUUCUGAUGCUGCAGCAGGAACAGUCAUAUCCAAUCAACCUAAAGUUCUCAGUUCACCGAUCACCUGUCAGCCUGCUCAACAUGAAGACAUCAAGAUGAAGACCUUUG
rnacentral:lncRNA from 1 species